AAUAGAUACCCAGGUAGUCCCAGCCGUAAACGAUGCUCGCUAGGUGUCAGGCAUGGCGCGACCGUGUCUGGUGCCGCAGGGAAGCCGUGAAGCGAGCCACCUGGGGAAGUACGGCCGCAAGGCUGAAACUUAAAGGAAUUGGCGGGGGGAGCACAACAACGGGUGGAGCCUGCGGUUUAAUUGGACUCAACGCCGGACAACUCACCGGGGACGACAGCAAUAUGUAGGUCAGGCUGAAGACCUUACCUGAAUCGCUGAGAGGAGGUGCAUGGCCGUCGCCAGUUCGUACUGUGAAGCAUCCUGUUAAGUCAGGCAACGAGCGAGACCCGUGCCCACUGUUACCAGCAUAUCCUCCGGGAUGAUGGGUACUCUGUGGGGACCGCCGGUGUUAAAUCGGAGGAAGGUGCGGGCCACGGUAGGUCAGUAUGCCCCGAAUUUCCCGGGCUACACGCGGGCUACAAUGAAUGGGACAAUGGGUCCCUCCCCUGAAAAGGGCUGGUAAUCUCACAAACCCAUCCUUAGUUCGGAUCGAGGGCUGUAACUCG
rnacentral:rRNA from 1 species